CAACCAGACUCCUACGGGAGGCAGCAGUGGGGAAUCUUCCGCAAUGGGCAAAAGCCUGACGGAGCAACGCCGCGUGAUCGAAUGAAGGCCUUCGGGUUGUAAAGAUCUGUUGACAGGGACGAAUAAGCAAUGCGAAUAGUUUUGUGUAUGACGGUACCUGUUUAGAAAGCUCCGGCUAACUACGUGCCAGCAGCCGCGGUAAUACGUAGGGAGCAAGCGUUGUCCGGAAUUACUGGGCGUAAAGGGCGCGUAGGUGGGCGCUUAAGUCAGGUGUGAAAACUCCGGGCUCAACCUGGAGACUGCACUUGAAACUGGGUGUCUUGAGGGCAGGAGGGGAAAGUGGAAUUCCUAGUGUAGCGGUGAAAUGCGUAGAUAUUAGGAGGAACACCAGUGGCGAAGGCGGCUUACUGGACGGCAACUGACGCUGAGGCUCGAAAGCGUGGGGAGCAAACAGGAUUAGAUACCCCUGUAG
rnacentral:rRNA from 1 species